rnacentral:lncRNA from 1 species
GGGGGAUGUAGGGAUUCAUCUUUGUCACAUUUUCUCUCUAAUUUAGCUGUCUAGGGAGCCUCCCUUGUUUUGCAGAAGUGGAAACAUCCAGUUUAAUUUCAUCUUUUCUCAGACUGCAGUAGCUUGCUUCCUCAGAAGCCAGGGUCUCUCUCCAUUUAUUCUUAGUGUUUAUCCCUUUAAUUCUCCUACAGUUUCACAAGUGCUUCUGGUAUAUUUUGUAAUUUUAGCUUAUAAUCACAUUUUUCGAAGAGGCACCAUCUGGUUCCUGACAUGGCUUAAAAUAACAAUCUAACUAACACGAACCCUGCAGCAAUGCUUUGCGCCCUUCCCAACCCAGUGUGAGAGUGUCCCCACCUAUAUUUCUUCACAAAUGCUCCACUGUUAGGUUCCAUCCCUUCCGAUAGAUCUCACAGAAAGCGGGGCCUUUUACCUCUUUCAUCUCGAACCCAGUCGUUUCAGGCAGUCAAAAUGGAUGCGUUAAAAAAAAAAAAAAAAAACCUUGCAGCUAGGACAGCAGAGGAUCUGCUGUGAACUGCUCAGUCAGAGACUUGGAGCUGGAGCUCACGUCUGUAUUUCAGCUGCCCUCUGGUGCUUAGCACUGCAGCAGUACACGCCAUCAUCAUGGCCCCAGUGCUUGGAGGUCCCUGCGACGGAGCAGCGGAAACCAAGCACAGCAAAAAUUCCUUUGAAGACAGAAAAGUGGCCCAGUGCUGUGCAGCAGGGCUACGGUGCUGGAAUCCAGCCCGGCCCAGUGCCGGCGUUGGCAGCGGCCUUCCCAUUAUAUCAGGAAGGGCUGUAUCCCGUCGCCACCAUGCCCCAACCCCCCCGGCUCGCCUCAGCUGUCUGCGGGACGUGGAGCCAGGCAGAGGGUGCCCUGCAAGAAGCAGAGCUGUUGGUUUGAGGUGCGGAAAGCCGGCCAGUCUGGAUGCGACUGCUGCUGCGUGGCGGACAGGAUUUGACAUGCCUUGCAGAGUGGCUGUGAAUAUGGUUAUCCUUAAUUUACGGAUGAGUGAUCCUGGACGAUACAAUUUGUUGGAGAUCAUAGAAAAAAAAUUAAGAGGGGAACACCACGUCUGCUGCCACCCAUGAUGUGUUCUCUUUGACUUUCCAAAUAACCUUUUUUACAGCCACCCAUUUAGUGGCUGUGAAGGAGGGUCGAUACGGAGGGGCUAGGAAAGUGCUGCUCCCACUGCAGGCUGCAAGCAGCACACACAUAUCUGGCAUAGAAUUUCAACCCUAUUGCUGUCUUUUUGCUGACAGCGCAGUAACGAGCUGAAACAACACCACGCUAUUCCCAAAGCUGCAUGGACAUUACUAAUGCCAAUGAAUAAGUAAAGCUUAUCUGUUAUGACAUGAAAUACUUGUAUAUUAUGCACAGACUUGUGUAUAAUGCAAGAUCUGAG